rnacentral:tRNA from 1 species
CAAAAUGUAGCUUAAUUAAAGCCCCUCGCUUACACCGAACACAUAUCUGUUAANCCCAGAUCAUNNGGGG